UUUCUUUUCUGAUCUACACACUCUGUAGAUCAAAUACAAGGAAGGUAUUGGGAAAGGAACUGCAAUCUCUGACCUGCCUGAGGUGAAGCGUGUAAAAGAGACACAGAAGAACAUCAGCUCGGUCUUAUACAAAGAGAACCUGGGUAAAGGAAUCGCUGUGGUGUACACCCCAGAGAUGCAGCGCGUUAAACGCAAUCAAGAAAAUAUUAGCUCGAUACUAUACUCUGACAGCUUCCGGAAGCAAGUACAAGGUCGAGCAGCUUAUGUGUUGGACACACCAGAGAUGAGACGUGUCCGGGAUUCUCAGCGCAAUAUAUCAACAGUAAGUUAAUAUC